rnacentral:rRNA from 1 species
AUGGAAAGUAACAGAGCGCCCGGCCCUGACAAUAUCCCUGUGGAAUUCUAUAAACACUAUUAGGAAUUUGUUAAAAAUGAUAUUAUGCACCUAUUCAAAGCAUUCCACAACAAUACCUUGGAUGUGGCACGCCUGAACUAUGGUGUCAUAACACUGAUUCCUAAGAUGAAUGGAGCAAAGAAAAUACAAUAGUACCGCCCAAUAUGCCUCCUACGAUGCCCAUACAAACUGAUCACGAAAGUUCUGGACAAUAGGGUUGCGGUAUUUGCUGAUAAGCUGAUUAGCAAGCACCAGAAUGCUUUUAUCAAGCAUAGAAAUGUAAUGGAUGGAAUCCUCACG